AGUGAACGCUGGCGGUAGGCCUAACACAUGCAAGUCGAACGGCAGCACAGUAAGAGCUUGCUCUUACGGGUGGCGAGUGGCGGACGGGUGAGGAAUACAUCGGAAUCUACUUUUUCGUGGGGGAUAACGUAGGGAAACUUACGCUAAUACCGCAUACGACCUACGGGUGAAAGCAGGGGAUCUUCGUACCUUGCGCGAUUGAAUGAGCCGAUGUCGGAUUAGCUAGUUGGCGGGGUAAAGGCCCACCAAGGCGACGAUCCGUAGCUGGUCUGAGGGGAUGAUCAGCCACACUGGAACUGAGACACGGUCCAGACUCCUACGGGAGGCAGCAGUGGGGAAUAUUGGACAAUGGGCGCAAGCCUGAUCCAGCCAUACCGCGUGGGUGAAGAAGGCCUUCGGGUUGUAAAGCCCUUUUGUUGGGAAAGAAAAGCAGCAGGUUAAUACCCCGCUGUUCUGACGGUACCCAAAGAAUAAGCACCGGCUAACUUCGUG
rnacentral:rRNA from 1 species